UUGAGUUUCCUGCACCUUUGCACGAAUUGCAAGUGCACCUUUAUAUGAAACAUGACGAGUAUAACAGAAUCAUGGUGAAGCUAAUGCACCAUACAAACAUCAUGCACCACCAUGAUGUUCACAGAGUCAUCUAGGCAACAUCUCACGCACCAUCUUUGAAUCAAAUAUGUGUCUAAUUGCGAAAUUAUGCAACAUCGUUAAAUUUCAUUCAUUACUAAAGCUUUUAAUGCGUAAUCGUGGCGUUCACUAUAUCAUCUAAGCAUCUAUUGCACCAUUAUUAUUGUAUGAAGUUUCGUACAUCGAAAUAUCAUUUCUUGUACGAUGUCAACUCUAAUGCAUCAUACUGACUGUUGGUUACGCCCCAUCGGAAACAACCUCAACGGAGCUGGCCGCCGGUCUAUGAUACCGAUCUUUAUCUUAACCACACCCGUCACCGUGUAGGGGAUUGUCCCGCUGUGAUAGAAGAAUAGACAGAUACAUGACAGACAGACGAUAUGAAUAAGCGAUAAGAACAAAAGUGAAUUGAAAAAAGUUCUAAGCUAGCAUUCCUAAUAUUAAAAGUUGAAAUUUUGUUAUUCUAUUUCCUUAAAACUAUUAUUCUUAUGUGAUUAUUAUUCACUAAUCUUAAUUGCUAUUUACUAGUUAAAAAAAAAAUAAGGUGAGAAUCUAACGUUAAACAGUGUAAACCGUGAAUUACCAGAAUGCCUAAUUUAUGUGUGUGUUCUUUAACUAUUAGGAAACAGAUUAAGGACUACGUAAUUCUUGCCUUCUGCAAGGGACCCACGGCUUGAAGAAAGGGUGAGCGAAGCAUAGUUACAACUAAAGCAUAAUCCUAAAUAACAAACAAACAUUUAAACAGGUUCCUACGUCUAAACAAAAACUGCAUCCAAAUUCUGCUGCAUGGGUACCGUGCUUAGGUGAGGCUUCAUACCCAAAUCAAAAUUGGAACUGAUAUUAAAAAAAAAACUUAAUCCUAUAGGUUGUUAAAGCUACGAGUGGAAAUCCUCAAGGAAUUUGUAGACUAUACACAGCAAAGAAUCACUAAAAGUAAGCCUUAUAUGACGAACACACAAUCUAAGUCUAAUUAACUAUAUUCCUUAGGAAUUUUAUAACCUUUUGCACCGGUUUAAAUAAACGAUUUGGGCAGAAAGUUCAUGAAAUUAGAUUCACCCAUACUGUGAACAACAUCUUAUAAAAUUCUUUUAUAACGAGAUGUCGAAGAAGUCUAUCAACCCUGGACGGGGAAUUCUCGUGGGGCAGACAACUAGCGAAGUGGUUGAAGGUAACGUUGGCGCCGGAGCAGUAGUAGCGGUCACUCCGGUGGAUGCAGUCUCUUCUGCUAAUGGAAACCAGGUAAAUUCGAGCCCAAACAAUGUUCCGUUGGUAACUGUAACUCGCAGUACCGGGACGAUACCAAAACCACCGAAAGCAAAUAGCAUACCCAAACAGUCAAAGUCAAUUCCCGCCGCGGUCGACCCGAAACGAAAUCCGGUUCGCGAAGUUAGACGGAAACAUGAUUUCCACUGUCAGUUGUGUAGUGAGCGUGAUAACGAUCGUAUGGUGCAGUGUGAUGGUGAUGGUUGCAUGCAGUGGUUCCACUACGAAUGUGUGGAAGUUACGAAUGGUGUAGCAAACGUGACCUGGAUCUGUCCAAUAUGCAGUACCGCAAAAGAUCCAACAUCAGCAGCGAUAAAUCCCCCCACCGGCACAACCGCUGGUCAGAACGAGCUAAUCGAGCAACGGAAAAACCAAUUAGAGACGUCAAGAGGAACCAACACCGAACGAUCGACUAGUAAGGCAAGCACAGUUAAGAGCGAAAUAAGGAGGAUGAGGGAGCUGGAAUUGCAAAGGCUGAAGGAAGAGUUGGAGCUGGAGAAAAAGUUUCUGGAGAAAAGGUAUAUGAUUCUGAAGGACUACGGUAGCGACUCAUCGUCGGUCGCGAGUGAGAUGGAGAACAUGUCGAAGAUCCAGGAAUGGGUAGCAGAAACCGAGCGCCAAGGUGAGGAGAACGAUUCCGGUUUAGUAGAAGAGGAGAUGAACGGACGGCCUGUAUCGACCAACUCGAAGCAGCCGCAGGAGUACCAAACUCCGGAUCUCGCUCAAGACAACAACCAAUCAUCGAUUCGUCCAGAUCAUCCAGGCCGGCUGUCGUGGCGUACAAACACGCACUGCCCGAACUUCCUCGAAAAUCAACCAUCAAACUUCCCAUCGUUGCAUCCCGGUACCUUUGUUCCAGGACAGCGUUCCACUUCAAUAUCGAGACCGCUUCCUGGUGUUCCGGCAGUGAAUAUGAACGAUGAGACGGUGUGCAUCUUGAAUAGGAGCCAACUCGCCGCUCGCCAGGCAGUCUCCAAGGAUCUGCCAGAAUUCAGUGGGAAUCCGGAGGAUUGGCCGCUUUUCUUUUCCGUGAUGAACUCUUCAACCCAAAUGUGUGGGUUCUCUAAUGAAGAGAAUAUGUUACGUCUACGAAAAUGCCUGAAGGGAAAGGCAUUAGAGGCCGUGCGAUGUCGUCUGCUUCAUCCAUCGAAUGUAGCCGGGGUAAUGACGACCCUUAAGAUGCUGUACGGAAGACCGGAGGCCAUCAUACAAGCGAUAAUCCGGAAGGUUCGAUCACUACCUCCACCGAACAUGGAAAAGUUGGAGACAGUUGUGAAUUUCGCGCUGACAGUGGAGAACCUCGUCGCAACGAUACAGGCAUGCGAGGUCAGCGACUUCGUAUAUAACGCAUCUCUAAGGUACGAGCUGGUAGAGAGGCUGCCAUCAUCCCUCAAAAUGGACUGGGCCAGAUUUUCUCGUGGUAAACUGCAUCCAACACUCAUCGAUUUCAGUGCGUGGUUGUACACGACGGCGGAAGAUGCCAGUGCCGUUAUGGUCAGUAGCAGUGGCAGCGAACAGCGAACUCGGCAAGGCAAAAAGGAUGGCUAUCUGAAUUUUCAUUCAGAAUCGGAAACGGCGGGCACAAAAUCGACCGAAUCGUCUACUAGGAUGAGAUCUUCCGGAACUGUGACCAAAGAACAGUGUGUAGUGUGCAAAGGAGGUUGCUCUUCUGUCGCAAAAUGCAAAAGAUUCGAGGAGUUUAGCUACGAUUCCAAGUGGGCAGCAGUAAAGGAAUGCAAGUUGUGCCGGAAAUGCCUGCGCAAGCAUAAUGGAUCAUGCAAGCAGUCAAAACCGUGUGGAACAAACGGGUGUGAGUUCCUUCAUCACCCUCUACUCCACAACACACAAAAGCACGGAGCGCCGAAACCAACAGCAUCGGUACAGGCAACUCCCAAUAGCGCACAACCAGAGACAAGUCGGACGGAUCGCAGUUGCAACGUUCAUCAAGUUCAAUCAGAGGUCCUGUUCAGAAUUGUCCCUGUUCUGUUAUACGGACCAACGAAGACGAUACGCACCUACGCGUUCAUAGAUGAUGGAUCUGAGCUUACGUUGAUCGAGCAAGGCCUGUGUGAUGAGCUGGGAGUACAAGGUCCAACGAAAUCACUGUGUUUGAAGUGGACCGGCGAUACGCAGAAAGUAGAGGAGGAGUCUCAGGUAGUCGACCUGAAAGUAUCCGGCGUACACACCUCGAAGAAGUACCAGCUGUCAAAUAUCUCCACGAUAUCUACUCUAAAGAUUCGCCCACAAACUCUACUACUAACAGAGAUACAGAAGAAGUACCCGUAUUUGGCAAACUUGCCACUCGAGUCGUACCAAAACGUCAGUCCUCGAAUUCUUAUCGGUCUGGAUCAUGCUAGACUUGGUCACACCAUCACAAGCCGUGAAGGUAAAGACAGCGAGCCCAUUGCGGUUCAAACGCGACUAGGCUGGAUGGUCUUCGGAAAUUGCACCGGCAAGGAAAAGACUGAGCGAUAUGUGAACUACCACAGCGUGCAAACCUGCGAGUGCAAUCGGGAUGUAAGCGAAGAUCUGUAUAAAAUGGUGAAAUCUUAUUUUUCUCUGGAUAGCCUUGGAGUCUCAAAACCGGAUAAGUUGCUGGUCUCCCAUCAAGACCAACGAGCACAAAUGCUGUUGGAAACACUCACUCGUCGUACCGAUAAGAGAUACGAGUCGGGGCUCCUUUGGAAAUACGAUGAAGUCCGACUACCGGACAGUGAACCAAUGGCACGGAGACGUUGGAAAUGCUUGGAUAACCGUCUGAGAAAAGAUCCUACAUUAUCUGAGGCAAUAAGGGAAAAAAUCAAUGACCAUGUCAGCAAGGGCUACAUAAGAAGGCUGUCCGAUGACGAGCUGAAGAAACCACAAUCUCGCGUAUGGUAUCUUCCGAUAUUUCCUGUUGUCAACCCGAAUAAACCGGGCAAAAUUAGAAUUGUAUGGGAUGCUGCAGCCACGGUCCACGGAGUGUCUCUCAAUAGUUUCCUGCUGAAAGGACCAGACCAGCUGACGUCCCUUCUUUCCGUUCUGGUGCAGUUUCGGGAGUUUCGAGUAGCCGUUAGUGGUGACAUCCGUGAAAUGUUUCACCAGGUGAAGAUGCGGGAGGAAGACCAGCACUGCCUACGUUUCUUCUGGACAGACGACGAUCAAGCCACGGAACCAAGCGUCUUCGUAUCACAGGUGAUGACGUUUGGUGCUUGCUGUUCGCCGAGUACCGCACAAUAUGUAAAGAACAGCAACGCACAGCGUUUCGAACAGGAACAUCCUCAAGCCGUCGUUGCUAUCGUUAAACGGCAUUACGUCGAUGACAUGCUCGUCAGCGUGGAAACGGAGAAGGAAGCAAUUCAGCUGGUUCAAGACGUGAAAGGAAUACAUGCAUCGGCGGGUUUCGAAAUGCGGAACUGGAUAUCGAACUCGGGCAGCGUCUUAGCAGCAAUCAAUGAAGAGUCCCCGACGGAGAAGAACCUCGACAUCGGCGAAGAAGGUGCCACUGAAAAAAUCCUUGGUAUGUGGUGGGACACUUCGAAGGACUGCUUCACCUACAAGAUCUCUACCCGCUAUGAUGAAGAACUGAUCUCUGGAAACCGUCGGCCUACGAAAAGGGAAGUCCUACGCACACUAAUGAUGGUAUUCGAUCCACUGGGACUAAUUGCGCACGUUUUGAUGUUCCUGAAAGUGCUAUUACAGGAGAUAUGGCGGACGCCUGUUGGAUGGGACGAUCCAAUUGAGGAUUCACAAUACGAGAAGUGGCUGUCUUGGCUGGAAAUCUUCCCACAGAUUGCAAAGGUAAACAUUCCACGCUGCUAUCGAGUGCUGACAUCAGCGGAAGAGGAAACCGUUGUUCAAAUGCAUACCUUCGUCGAUGCAAGCGAAAAUGGGUUUGCUGCAACGGUGUACCUGCGAUUCGAGAAUGCCGGCACUGUUGAGUGUUCACUAGUCGGUGCAAAAACGAGAGUUUCGCCGCUCAAAUUCCUGUCGAUCCCGCGUUCAGAACUGCAAGCAGCAGUCAUUGGUGUGCGAUUCGCUGAUAUGAUCUUAAAAUCACUCUCGAUUAACGUCAGUCAGCGAACGUUCUGGACAGACUCCAGAGAUGUACUCUGUUGGAUUCGUUCAGAUCACAGACGAUAUAGUCAGUUUGUUGCAUUCCGAAUUAGUGAAAUCCUAGAAACGACGGAUGUCAAUGAGUGGCGCUGGGUACCCACAAAACAUAAUGUUGCUGACGAAGGCACAAAAUGGAAGCGAGUCCCCAACUUGUCCAGCGACAGCCGGUGGUUCCAUGGACCGGAGUUCCUUCUCCUCAAGAAAGAAGAAUGGCCGGUGAAUCCGUUCCCUGAGAAGACUACGCAGGAAGAACUUCGAGCGCAUCUGCUUCUCCAUAUCCAAUCUGCAGAGCCGGCAAUACGCCCACAGGAUUUCUCGAAGUGGACCGACUUGCUACGAGUAACGGCCUACGUGUUGCGUUACAUUAACAACUUGAAGCGUAGCUGCUAUGGAAAAUCCUCAAUUCCUGGACCGCUGAAAAGGUACGACUUCAUCGACGCAGAAAACUACCUAUUCCGUCGAGCUCAAUCAAGCGCUUUCGUGGAGGAAAUAGCCAUUCUAACUAAAAAUCGUUCAUCGUCGGAUUCAGUGAAGCUUCUUCCUAGAUCAAGUCUACUAUACCAGUGGUCCGCUUUCCUAGAUGAGAACGAUGUGCUACGCGUCAAAGGCCGCACGAAGGCAUGUGCGUUCAUUGAUCGAGAUGCUGCCGAACCGGUAAUUCUUCCCCGAGAUCAUCAUGUAACUCGCCUUAUCAUUUCCGCAGUGCACGAGCGGUUCAACCACCAGAACCACGAGACGGUGGUAAACGAGAUACUCCAACGCUACCGUGUUCCUCGCCUGAAAGCAACGUACCGACAAAUCCUGAAAGAAUGUCAACAGUGCAAAAUACUCCUCGCCAGCCCCAAGCCCCCUGCUAUGGCUGAUCUCCCGAAAGCUCGACUGUCCGCCUUUUCUCGUCCCUGCACUCACAUGGGAGUAGACUACUUCGGUCCGAUACUGAUCUCCGUUGGGAGACGUACCGAAAAGAGGUGGGGGGUACUCGCCACUUGCCUAACCACUCGCGCCAUCCACCUACAGAUCGCUCACACUCUGACCACUGACUCCUGCGUAAUGGCCAUUCGGAACAUCAUGGCCAGAAGAGGUAUCCCUGCAGCGAUCUACAGCGACCGUGGAACCAAUUUCCGUGCCGCAAAUAAGGAGCUACAGAACGCAUUAGAAGAACUGGAUCACAUGGCUCUGAUCAAGGAGUUUACAACUAGUCGCACUGAAUGGGUUUUCAACCCUCUCCUCUCGCCUCACAUGGGAGGAGCAUGGGAGAGGUUGAUUCGAAGCGUAAAACUAAAUCUCGAGCGACUGCAGACGAGUAAACUACCAACCCACGAGGUUCUGGAAAACGCGUUGGUAGAGGUCGAGAAUAUCGUCAACUCGCGUCCUCUAACAAACAUUCCUAUUGAGGAUGACGAUUCACCGGUGUUAACCCCCAACCAUUUCUUGUUGGGAUCCGCUAACGGCUUACGAUCGUGGGUUCCCCUGGACGACAACCCAGUCCUGCUCAGAAAUAGUUGGAAGCAGUCACAGAUGUUAGCAGAUACUUUCUGGAAGCAUUGGGUUCGGAGCUAUUUGCCUAAGAUUACUCGAAGGACUAAAUGGUUCACUUCAACGAAACCGAUCACUGUGGGAGAUGUAGUAGUCAUCGUCGAUUCGAAGCUGCCUCGUAAUUGCUGGCCAAAAGGCCGCGUUAUUGCCACGUGUCCGGCCACGGAUGGCCAAGUGAGAUGGGCUACUGUGCAGACCGCAUCGGGUGGCAUCUACGAGCGACCAGCGGUAUCGUUAGCUGUACUCGACGUAGGCGUUAGGACGAAUACGCUUCAGGAGCAGUCUUUGCGUAUUCCGGGGGGGAGUGUUGGUUACGCCCCAUCGGAAACAACCUCAACGGAGCUGGCCGCCGGUCUAUGAUACCGAUCUUUAUCUUAACCACACCCGUCACCGUGUAGGGGAUUGUCCCGCUGUGAUAGAAGAAUAGACAGAUACAUGACAGACAGACGAUAUGAAUAAGCGAUAAGAACAAAAGUGAAUUGAAAAAAGUUCUAAGCUAGCAUUCCUAAUAUUAAAAGUUGAAAUUUUGUUAUUCUAUUUCCUUAAAACUAUUAAUCUUAUGUGAUUAUUAUUCACUAAUCUUAAUUGCUAUUUACUAGUUAAAAAAAAAAUAAGGUGAGAAUCUAACGUUAAACAGUGUAAACCGUGAAUUACCAGAAUGCCUAAUUUAUGUGUGUGUUCUUCAACUAUUAGGAAACAGAUUAAGGACUACGUAAUUCUUGCCUUCUGCAAGGGACCCACGGCUUGAAGAAAGGGUGAGCGACAUAGGCGAAACUACCGGGGGUGCCGGGGGUGCCAGGCACCCCCUAGAAUUUUGAUGCAUUGCUGUGAGAUAUGGGGCGAUGAAUGAGGAAUGGAUGAACUCAUGAAUAUUUGUUUGUAGUGCACCCCCUGGCACAAAUCCGUAGUUUCGCCCAUGGUGAGCGAAGCAUAGUUACAACCAAAGCAUAAUCCUAAAUAACAAACAAACAUUUAAACAGGUUCCUACGUCUAAACAAAAACUGCAUCCAAAUUCUGCUGCAUGGGUACCGUGCUUAGGUUGUUAAAGCUACGAGUGGAAAUCCUCAAGGAAUUUGUAGACUAUACACAGCAAAGAAUCACUAAAAGUAAGCCUUAUAUGACGAACACACAAUCUAAGUCUAAUUAACUAUAUUCCUUAGGAAUUUUAUAACCUUUUGCACCGGUUUAAAUAAACGAUUUGGGCAGAAAGUUCAUGAAAUUAGAUUCACCCAUACUGUGAACAACACUGACAUCAAGCACCAUCUUUGAAUGACAUGCUCCAUAUUAGCAUUCAAUGCACCAUACCAAUGAACUCAGUGUUAUCAGAAGAUCCUAUACACCACGGUGACAUUAUGCACCUUUAUUGCCUCACGCAAUUUGAUUUUUAUGCAGCACCAACAUUUUUAUGUUUACACCAUCUCCAAAUCUCAUGUUUUACCUUAGCAUUCUAUAAAUCAAAAUGCAAUUACUUGCCACGCAUGCAUACUCACAUCACAAACCUCAUUAAAAUUCUAUACACCUUCUUGGUGUUCAUUGUAUCAUCCACAAUUGAAUUUUAUAUACCAUUUUGUGAUUCGCGCAUCAAAAUAGCAUUCCGUGGAUCAUUUUGAGAAUCACUUUACCAGCUCGAGAAAUAUCUGGAGUAAUCCGUGGAGGCAUUCUAGGAGAAAUCCCUGGAGAAAUUUCAGGGGGAAUCCUUGAAGGACUUUCUAGAGGAAUCCCAGAAGGCAUUACUAAAGAAGUGCUUGAAAGAAUUCUUGAAAGAAGCUCUUAAAAACUGGAAGAGGAGUCUAGAAAUUCCUGUAGAAUUUGCAGGAGGAACUACUAAAGGAAUUGCUGGAAACAUUAUUGAAGGAAUUCCCUAGAGGCAUUCUUAAAGGAAUCCUUGAAGAAUUUGCUGGGGGAAUCCGUAGAGGAAUUCGUGAAAGAAUUCAUAGAGGAAUUUGUGGAGAAAUAUUUCGAAAAACUCCUGGAUAAAUUUCUUGAAAAGUUCCAGCAGGGGUCAUUGACGAACCCCUGGAGAAUUUCGUGGAGUAAACUCCGGAGGCAUUCCUGGAAGAAACCCUGGAGGAAUUCCUGGAAGAAUUUCUGGAGGAAUCUCUGAAGGCAUUCCUGGAGGAAUCCUUGGAAGAAUGCCUGGAGGUUUCCUUGUAAGAAUUCCUGGUGGAACUUCUGGAAGAAUGUCCGGAGGAAUUUCUGCAGGAAUCCCUGAGGAAAUUUCUGGAGGGACAUUUGGAGGAGUUUCUAGAAGAAUUCCUGGAAGAAGCUAUGAGAAAUUCCUGGAGAAAUCCCUGAUGUAAUCCCUGGAGGAAUUCCUGAAGGACUCCGAGAAGGAAUUACAUGAUGAAACACUGGAGGGGUAACAGAAGGAAUCCAUGAAAUAAUUCAUGGAGAAAUUCCAGGAAAAAUUGCUGGAGGAAUUCCUGAAGAAUUUUUUGGAAAAUUCCUGCAUGAAUUUGUUGAAGAAUUACUCGAGAAAUUCUAUGACGAACCCUUGCAGAAAUUACUGGAGAAAUCUCUGGAGGAAUUUGUGGAGCAAUUUCUGGAGGAAUUCCUGAAGGAAUUUUUGGAAGAAUCCGUGAAAAAAAUCUUGGAGGAAUUUCUGGAGGCAUUCUUUCGAGAAUUAUUGGAAGAAUUUCUGGAGGAUUUUCAGGAGGAAUACUUGGCUGAAUCCCUGGAGACAUUCAUAGAAGAAAUCCUAGAGAAAGCUUUGGAAAAUUCCUGGAGAAAUCCCUGUUGAAAUCCUAGGAGGAAUUCCUGAAGGAAUUCAAGGAUGAAUCCCUGCAGAAUUACUAGAGAAACUUCUGGAAGAAUCCCUAGAGGUUUUUAUUGAGAAAUUCCUAAAAAAAAUGUAGGAAUUCCUGGAAGAAUUUCUGGAGGAUUCCCUGAAGGAAUUCUAUGAAAAAAAUCUGGAAAAAUAUUUGCGGCUUCCUGGAAUGAUUAAACGAACUCCUCGAGCAAAAGAAUUCCUAGAGGGAUUUUUGAGGAAUUCCUGAAGAAAUUCUUGAAGAAAUUCCUGGCGAAAUCCAUGGAGGAAUACCUGAAGAAAUUUUUCGAGGAAUUCCUGGAACAGUUCCAGGAGAGGUUUUUUUUCUGGAGAAAUUCAUGGAUUAAUUCUAGAGGAAUUCUUGGAGGAAUCCAUGAAGAAUUUUUUAGAUGAUUUUCUGGAGCAAUUAAUAGAGAAAUUUUUAUAGUUGUUCCAGGAGAAAUUUCUGGAGAUUCCUUAAAAAAUUCCAGAAAAAAAUACUGAAAAAAUGUCUGUAGAAAUCGCUGGAGAAAUUUCUCGAGGAAUUCUUGGAAGAGUUCCGGAAAAAUUUCUUCAGAAUUUUCUGGAGAAAUCCGAGCAGGAAUUCCUUUAGGAGUCGUUGCAGAAAUUCCUGGAGGAAUCUCUGUAGAAAUUCCCGGAGGUAUUCAAGAUGGAAUUAACGAAGGAAUUUUUGAAGGUAUAGUGGAGGAGUUCCUGGUGCGAUUUCCGAAAGAAUUCUUUGAGGUAUUUUUGAGAAACAUUCCUGGAGAAAUUCCUGGAAGAUUUUCUUGAGGAAUCUUUAGAGAAAUUCCUGGAGGAAUCCAUGUCCGGGAGGUAUUUCUGGAUAAAUUCCUGAAGAAUUUUUUGGUGGAAUAACUGGAAAAAUUCCUGGAUUAAUUCUUUAAGGAAUUUCUGGACCUUAAAUUCUGGAGGAAUGUCUAGAGGAACUCCUCGAGGAAUUUGUGAAGGAUUUUGUUUUGAGUAAUUUAUGAAGAAACUCAUGGAUGAAUUCCCGAAGAAAUUCCUGGAGGAAUCCAUGGAGAAAUCCCUAAAGAAAUUCCUAGAGAAAUACCCAGAAAAGAUCUGGAAAAAAUCCCUGCUGUUAUCCUAGGAGGGAUUCCUGAAGGAAUCUGUGAAGGAAUUCAAGGAUGAAUCCUUGGAAGAAUCCUUAAAGAUUUUUCUGGCGAAAUUCCUGGAAAAAUGAAGGAAUUCCUGGAUAAAAUUCUGCAGGAUUUCCUGAAGGAAUUCUUUGAAAAAUUUGUGAAAAAACAUUUGCGGCUUCCUGGAGGAAUGAUUUAAGGAACUCCUCGAGCCAUUUCUGAAAGAUUUCCUAGAGGGAUUUUUGAGGAAUAUCUGAAAAAAAACAUUGAUGGAAUUCCUGGCGAAAUCCAUGGAGGAAUCCCUGGAGAAAUUUUUCGAGGAAUUCCUUGAGGAAUUCCUGGAACAGUUCCGGGAGAAGUUUUUUCUGGGGAAAUCCGUGGAUAAAUACCUAGAGGAAUUCUUGGGGGUAUCCAUGAAGAUUUUUUUUAGGAUUUUCCGGAGCUAAAACUAGGGAAAUUUUUAAAGUUGUCCCAGGAGAAAUUUCUGGAGAGAUUCUUUGAAAAUUUCCAGAAAAGAAAAUUCUGUAGAAAUCCCUGGAAAAAAUUCUCGAGGAAUUUCUGGAAGAGUUCCGGGAGAAAUUUCUUCAGGAUUUUCUGGAGAAAUUCGAGAAGGAAUUCCUUAAGGUAUCCUUGCAGAAAUUCCUGGAGGAAUCCCUGUAGAAAUUCAAGAUGAAAUUAGUGAAGAAAUUUUUGAAGGUAUGCAUGGAGGAAUUCCUGGAGGAAUUCCUGAAAGAAUUCUUUGAGGUAUUUUUUGCGAAACAUUCCUGGAGGAAUUCCUGGAGAAAUUCCUGGAUGAUUUUCUUCAGGAAUCUCUGGAGAAAUUUCUGGAAGAAUCCAUGUUUGCAUUCCGGGAGGUAUUUCUGGAUAAAUUCCUCCAGAAUUUUUUGGAGGAAUUCAUUUACGAUUUCUUAGAGGAAUAACUAGAGAAAUUCCUGGAUGAAUUCUUUACGGCAUUCCUGGACAAAUAAUUAAAGCUUCCUGGAGGAAUGUCUGGAGGAACUCCUCGAGGAAUUAUUAAAGGAUUUUUUUAAGCAAUUUCUGAAGAAACUCAUGGAUGAAUUCCCGAAGAAAUUUCGGAGGAAUCCAUGGAGAAAUCUCUGGAUAAACUCCUAGAGAAAUUCCCGGAAAAGAUCCGGGAAAAAUUCUUUUAGGAUUUUCUGGAGGAAUUAGUCGAGGAAUUUCUGGAAGAAUCCCUGGAGACAAUAUUGGAGGAAUUCUGGCAGAAAUUCUUAGAGAUUUUUCUGUAGGAAUCCCGGCAGCAAUCCCUGGAGGUAUUUCAUGGGGAUUCCAUGGAAGUAUCCCUGGAGGUAUUCCUAGAAGACUUCUGGGAGAAAUUGAUUGAGGAUUAUGUGGAGGAUUCCGUGAAGGAUUUCCUGGAAAAUGCCUUGAGGGGAUGAACCAGUCUCGGGCUGAAUUUCCCCAUAAUAAAAAGUCAAUAAUAAUAAAUGCCUUGAGAAAUUUGUGGUGGAAUCCAUGGAGGGAGGAAUUUCUGAAGGAAUUCCGGAAAAAAAUCCUGGAGAAAUUCCUGGAGGAAUCCAUGGGGGUAUCCCACAAAAUUCUUGGUAGGGUUCCGGGAGACAUUCCUUUUAGAUUGUGUGGAGGAAUUCUGACAGAAAUUCCUAGAGGAUUUUCUGGAGUAAUUCCUGGAGGUAUUUCUGGAUGAAUUUUUGAAGAAAUUCAUGAAUAAAUCGUUGAAGGAAUGAAACCCUGAAGAAGUCCUUGAGAAUUUCCUGUAGAAUUUCCUAGAGGAAUCCAUGGAUGAAUUGCUCGAGAAAUUCCGGGAGGAAAUCCUGGAAGAGUUCCGGUAGAAAUUCCUUUAGGAUUUUCUGGAGGAAUCUAUAGAGCAAUUCCUUGAAGAAUCCCUGGAGGAAAUAUUUAAGAAAUUCUGGCAGACAUUCCUGGAGAAAUCAUUUGGGGAAACUCCUAGAAAAAAUUCUGGAGGAAUGUAAUGAGAAAUCCCUGUAGUUUUGGUGAAAAUUCCCAGAGGAUUUUUAAGAGGAAUCCCUGGAGGAGUUCCUGGUAGUAUUUCUGGCGCUCUUCCCUUAGAAAUUUCUGAAAGAAUUCCCGGAGGAUUUAUUGCGGAAUUUCUAAAGAAAUUCAUGGAUGAAUCCUCGGAGGAAUCCCUGAAGAAAUGCCUCGAGAAUUUCCUGGAAGAAUCCAUGGGGAAUUUUUCAAAGAAUUCUAGGAGGAAUUCCUGAAAGAGUUCCGUUAAAAAAUCAUCUAGGAUUAUCUGGAGGAAUGCGAGGAUCAAUUCUUAGAGAAAUCCCUAGAAGAAAUAUUGUAGGAAUUCUGACAGUCAUUCCUAAAAGAAAAUUUUAGGAGGAAUCUCUGGAGGAAUUAUUGGAGUAUUUACCAGAGGAAUUAUUUGAGGAAUUUCUGGUGAAAUAUAUGAGGCUUCCUGGAAAAUUAAUGGAGGAAUGUCUGAAGGAACUUCUCGAGGAAUUUCUGAAGGAAUAUCUGGAGAAAUUUCUGAAGACAUUUAUUAUUACAUCCCCGUAGGAAUUCCUGAAGAAAUUUCAGGAAAAAAAAUCAUGGAGAAAUUCCUAGGGGAUUCUGUGGAGGAUUCCCUGGUGGAAUUUCUGGCGGAAUCAUUCGAGGAACUCCUGGAGGAAUUCCUGGAAGAGUUUCGGGUGAAAUUACUUUAGGAUUUUCUGUUGGAGUUCAUGGAUGAAUUUCGGGGAGAAAUCCCUGGAGGCAUCUCGGAGGAAUUUCUGGAGGAAUGUCUGAAGGAACUACUCGAGCAAAUUGUGAAGGAAUACCUGGAGGAUUUUUUUGAAGAAUUUCUGAAGAAAUUUAUGAAUGAAUUCCUACAGGAAUUCUUGGAUAAAUUGCUGGAAAAAAUCCUGAAGAAAUACCUGAAGGAAUCCGUGGAGGAUUUCCUGGACAAAUUUCUUGCGGAGUUUCUCGAGAAAUUCUUGGAAGGGUUCCGGGAGACAUUCUUGGGGAACUCAGGCAGAAAUUCCUAGAGGAAUUGCUGGAGGAAUUUUAGGAAUUUCUGGAGGAUUUUUAGUGGAAUUUCUGAAGAAAUCAAUGGAGAGAUCCCUGGAGGAAUUCCUGAUGAAAUUGUUUGAGAAUUUCCUGGAGGAAUCCAUGGAAGAAUUCUUAGAGAAAUUUCUUGAGGAAUACCUGGAAGAAUUCCGUGAGAAAUUCCUUUAGCAUUUUAUGGAGGCAUCCGUGGAGGAAAUAUUGGGGGAAUUCUGACAGACAGACAUUCAGGAUUUUUCCUAGAAAAUGGCAGGAGGGAUCUCUGGAGGAAUUUUAGGAGUAUUUACUGGAGGAAUUCCUGGAGGAUUUAUUUGAGGAAUUUCUGGAGAAAUAUAUGAGUCUUCCUGGAGAAAUGUCUGAAAGAACUCCUCCAGGAAUUUCUGAAGGUAUUCCUGAAGGAAUUUCUGGAAGAAGUUUCUGAGGAAUUUCUGAAGAAAUUCAGUAAUGAAUCCCUGGAGAAAUUCCUGAAGAAAUUUCUGGAAAAAAUCCUAAAGAAAUUCCUGGAGGAUUCCCUGUAGGUAUACCUGGAAGAGUUCUGGAAGAAAUUCCUUCAGGAUUUUCUGCAGGAUACCGUGGAGGAAUUCCUGAAAGAAAUCACUAGUUGCAUAUUGGAGGAAUUUCUAAAGAAAUGUCUGAAGGAACCCCUCGAGGAAUUUCUAAAGUAAUAUCUGGAGGAAUUUCUGAAGAAAUUCAUUAUUGAAUCCCUGGAGGAAUUCCUGAAAAAAAAUCCUGGAGAAAUUACUGGAGGAAUCUGUGGAGGAGUUCCUGUAGAGAUUCCUCGCAAAAUUUUUGGAAGAGUUCCGGGAGACAUUCUAUUAGGAUUCUCUGGAGAAAUUCUGGCAGAAAUUCCUAGAGGAUUUUCUGGAGAAAUCCCUGGAGGAAUUUCAUGAGGAAUUCUUGGGGGAUUUUUUUGGGAGGAAUUCCUGUAGGAAUUUCUGGCGUUAUUUUUCGAGAAAUUUCUGAAGGAAUUUCUAGAGGAAUUUGUUGAGGAAUUCAAGAAGGAUUUUUUGAAAUAAUUCAUGGAUUCAGGAAUUCCUGAAGAAAAUCGUUGAGAAUUUGCUGGAUAAUUUUCUGAAGGAACUCCUGUAGGAAUUUCUCGAGGAAUUCCAGGAAGAUAUACUGCAGAAAUUCCUUUAGAAUUUUCUGGGGAAUUCCGUGAAGCAAUUCCUAGAGGAAUCCCUGGAGGAAAUAUUGGGGGAAUUCUGGCAGACAUUCCUAGAGGAUUUUUCCUGAAAAAAAUUUCAGGAGGAAUUCCUGGAGGUAAUUUUGGAAGAGUAUUUGCUGGAGGAAUUCUUGGAGGAAUUAUUUGAGGAAUUCCUGGAGAAAUAUUUGAGACAUCCUGGAGGAAUUUCUGAAGGAAUUAUUGGAAGAUUUUUUUGGGGGAAUUCCUGGAGGAAUCAUGCACGAAUCUUUGGAGAAAUCCUCUGUAGAUUGCAACAAGGAUUCCGAUCAAGAUGUUCUAUCUAGGAAUUCUGACAUUCUCCAAUUCUAGCAUCACUAAUUGUCCAGGAUCAAAAUUCUUUCACAACAACAAUAUUUUGUUUUUCUAUAAUUGAUAAUUUUCUCGAUAUUCUCCAUUGUAUUUGAUCUUAUAUAUAUAAAAAUGCAGUGGCAUACGUGGGACCGCGCAUAACUUGCGAACGGAAGGUCCGAUUAUGGUCGUCUUAGUUUUGUUAUAUUAGUUUUCACCGAAGGAUGGUUUAUGAGGCAAAAAACAUGGAAAAAUUUAAAGUUGUUGAAAAUCGAUCUUCCAUACAUUUUGACCGGGGUCUUGGCUAGAAACUUGAAACGUCAAAAAACGCAGUAAGACAAAGUUUGCCGGGUACAGCUAGUACGUUUAUAAAAUUUUAUAAAAGCCGAGAUAAUGCCUUCAUAUUAAAGUUUCGUAAUGCCUUGAAAUUAUCACCAUCCAAAGCCUUCUCCAGAAUCCCAAUAUGAAGUACUUGGCGAUGUUAGCACCACAACAUGUUGAAACCCCUACUUGGGAAUUCAUAUUGGGUGUAACACCAUAAUUCUAUUUUGCACCAUGAUCAUACAUAUAUUGCACCAUUAUUAUGGUGCCCCCCCUAAGCAAGAACCCUGCGCACGCUAGUGUCUACAACACCGCUCCUUCAUAAACGGGCGCAAAACCACCUCAUCUUUUCAUAUCAACAGAUAAAUACAAUCCAAAUGAUACAGUUUGCUUAGCAUACAUAUUAAAUACUGCCGUUAUAAGCAUAGUUGUCCCAUGUUACUUUCUGACGAUUUUGACUUUUUUGCACCAGGCGCUCUAUUAAUACGUAUAUUUUCAUAUAACAUCAAAAAAUAUCAUACUUUGUUCGAAGACUCAAUGAAAAGCAUGCCAAGUCAAAUUGUCCCACUGUUGAAUUUCUACGCAUGUCUGUCCCACAAUUGAAAUUCUACGCAUAACAGUCCCACUAAAAAUGUUUAAGUAAAACCGAUACAUUUAGCAUUUUUAGUAACUUACUUCACCUAAUAGCAUGGCUAUUUCAGUAAUGUAUGAUAUAAACUCUUCUUUUAUGUUGGCAUUACGCUCCAGCUGGAACGCCGGAAUUUCUUCGCAACUUGCAGUUUUAAUCUUAAUUCAAAUUUUGCUGCAAUGCGCGUUGAGCUCAUAAACCAAACAUAAACAUUUUAACUUAAUUAAUAGGCUCAAAUGUCGUGAAGCAUGACGAAGCCGAUCCAAAAUAAUGACAAAGAGGUUGCUGAAUUGAAUGACUGGUGUUUGUAAAAAAUUUCAGAAUUUAAGCAAGCUUGAAAUAUUGUUGGUAAGUGAGUUGAUGAGUUUCACUUUUUUUAUUUCAAUAUGUUAUCCCAAUAAUUUGAUUGAAUUAGUGUGUCGGUAAGUGAGUGGCUUAGUUAUCGCCUAUUUAAAAAAUAAAAAGAACACUUUUGGGUUAAACACAAAUCGAAGACGAACUGCCGGAGGGACUGAACAAGCAAUCAAUAUUUUAAUUGAUGAGAGAUCAACCGAGUAAGUGAAUUGAAGAGUAAGUGAGUGACUUGGUGAGCGAGAUUUUGUAAGUGUGUGGGUUGAUGAGUUAAUGAUUAAAAUGAUAAACGAGUGAUUUGAUAAGUGAGUUGGUUUAUUAAUAAGUUGAUGGGUAAGUGAGUGACUGUUUUGAAUGAAUGUGUUAAUGAGUUAUUGAGUAACUUGAUAAACAAGUGACCUAGACGCUCAGAGACUUGAUGAGUAAGUGAAUUCUUGGGUAAGCUGUUCUUAGUAAGUUGUGUCGUAGAUAAGCGGCUUUCUGUGUAUAUGUAAAGAAAUAAUAGAGACCAAAAGCAUUAUACUCUUAUUAUCGUAUUUGUAUUAAAAGUAAACAUAGUACCGUAACUGCUUGUUUUCGAAUAGGAUGAAUAUAGAACCGUACCAACGGCAUUCUGUGUGAACAAUAAGCCUAAGUUAAAAUUCACGAAUAAAAAAACGGCAUUCUGACCCUUCAUAUUCAAAUAAAGAUACAUGAAGCAUGAAGCCUCUAAUGGCAAAUCACUCCCAAUCUUUGCUGGGGUUCCUAUUCAUAUGACCCAUACAAGCAGAGGAAGGCAUGGUGCAGAAUGUUUUGAAAACUUAAGCUGUUGUAUUUCUAAACAUAUUUUAUUUCAAUGAUAUGUACAUAUUUCUUGGCAUUUAUAAUUAAUACAACAGCUUACUCAAUUGUAUGCUUUGUUGGUCAUUAGGCAAAAUAGGCCAUUAGGCCGAACAUUUCAUUAUGCCGAAAAUUUCAUUAGGCCGAAAAAAUAAAAUUCAUUGGGCCGAAAAGGACGUUAGGGCUGAAUAAUUCAAGUAUAGAACAAGGUCAUUCAUUUAUAAAGAACAAGGUCAUUCAUUUAUAAAGACCUUUUGGGCCUAAAGACCUUUUGGGCCUAAAGACCUUUUGGGCCUAAAGACCUUUUGGGCCUAAAGACCUUUUGGGCCUAAAGACCUUUUGGGCCUAAAGACCUUUUGGGCCUAAAGACCUUUUGGGCCUAAAGACCUUUUGGGCCUAAAGACCUUUUGGGCCUAGAGACCUUUUGGGCCUAAAGACCUUUUGGGCUGUAAGAAUUACUUUCUUGCCCUUACCUGCAUUUGCCCGGCAGGGCGGCUCGGAGCAGGGUACUUCCAAUAAACUUUGGAUUUCGGAUGGGUGAAAUUUGGGAAAAAGAAAUAUUUCAAUUAAAACUUCUAUUCUACUUCUGACCUUAUUUUCUCCUCCUCGCUACGUCACUGGUCACUGGCUCGUCGACACUCGUUGGGGCCCUUUCAGCACGGUGGUGGCGUUCGCUCCCGCACGGGAUAUGCGGAGCUUCCUCGUCCUUCUUCUUCUUCCACUUCUGCUUCUUCACCUUCCUCUUCUUCGGGUUGGGCUAAUUCGCCGCCGAAGCGACGGUCCUUGGCUUUUAGCUAGGGGGAGGAGAUAAACUCCUUUGUCGGACCCCCCCUAGCGACGCUGGUGAUAUUCACCGAACCGACUACUCGCCGUAGUCGAUCCCAGUAGUCACCGCAGUGAGCUACUCCAGUGAAUACGCCCCUUUGUAUUCUACUGGCUUCGUCCUUCUUGGCUUUUAACUGUGGGGGCGAGGUACUCUACUGGCUGAGCCUCCACAGUAAGGACGGUGGGUAUUCGGAGGGAUCUUUGGCGAUUAGCCGCGGGAAGCGAAAGGCUCCUUUACAAUUAGCCUCCCAAUGGCGGCGAUCCUAUACCCUUUUCACUGCACUCGCACAGCACUGUUUUCCGACCGCGGGCCGGCGCGUUCCGGGGAACUUUCUGCAACUAGUCACUCCCGGCGACCUGGGAACAACCUUCCAGGUUUGGUUCACUCCGAUUUCACAAAAACGGUGCGCGCACACUAGCGGAGUAGAAUCACGCGACCGGGCUCUUUCACGGUGCAAAACGAUCUCCUUUUCAAAAUGUCAUCCUCCGUCCAGAAUGUCGCACACCACCUUGCCGCCAUCUCCUACCACCGUGCUCGACUUGUUAUGCAGUUAUGUUGCGCCGCUUUCUUUGCAACGGGAGGAGAAUGGGACCUAACUUCAUUUAAAAACCUAUCUAAAUCUAAACUAUAAUUUACUACCUAACAUAUUAAAAUGGAAAAACCUAACACCAAAUAAAAUCAAACAUGAAAUAAACAAAUUAAAAUAAAUUGUUCAUCACGUCAGUGGUGGUGUAUGUUGCCAAUUCAAAACAAAAACAUUACUCUGAGUAUCAACAACGGACUAUAUACAAACUACUCAGAGUACACGCAGUGACGAAACUAGACAAACUGGGUUAAUUGUAACACGCAGGUUACAGGGCCUAAAGACCUUUUGGGCCUAAAGACCUUUUGGGCCUAAAGACCUUUUGGGCCUAAAGACCUUUUGGGCCUAAAGACCUUUUGGGCCUAAAGACCUUUUGGGCCUAAAGACCUUUUGGGCCUAAAGACCUUUUGGGCCUAAAGACCUUUUGGGCCUAAAGACCUUUUGGGCCUAAAGACCUUUUGGGCCUAAAG